CCUACGGGAUGCAGCAGUGGGGAAUAUUGCACAAUGGGGGAAACCCUGAUGCAGCGACGCCGCGUGAGUGAAGAAGGAAUUCGUUAUGUAAAGCUCUAUCAUCAGGGAAGAAAAUGACGGUACCUGAGUAAUAAGCACCGGCUAACUACGUGCCAGCAGCCGCGGUAAUACGGAGGGUGCAAGCGUUAUCCGGAUUUACUGGGUGUAAAGAGCGCGUAGACGGGAGAGCAAGUCUGGAGUGAAAUGCGGGGGCUUAACCCCAGGACUGCAUUGGAAACUGUACGGCUGGAGUGUAGGAGAGGUAAGUGGAAUUCUUAGUGUAGCGGUGAAAUGCGUAGAGAUUAGGAGGAAUACCCGUGGCGAAGGCGGCCUACUGGACCGUAACUGACGUUGAGGCGCGAAAGCGUGGGGAGCAAACAGGAUUAGAUACCCCUGUAGUC
rnacentral:rRNA from 1 species